AGUGAACGCUGGCGGUAGGCCUAACACAUGCAAGUCGAACGGCAGCACAGUAAGAGCUUGCUCUUACGGGUGGCGAGUGGCGGACGGGUGAGGAAUACAUCGGAAUCUACUUUUUCGUGGGGGAUAACGUAGGGAAACUUACGCUAAUACCGCAUACGACCUACGGGUGAAAGCAGGGGAUCUUCGGGCCUUGCGCGAUUGAAUGAGCCGAUGUCGGAUUAGCUAGUUGGCGGGGUAAAGGCCCACCAAGGCGACGAUCCGUAGCUGGUCUGAGAGGAUGAUCAGCCACACUGGAACUGAGACACGGUCCAGACUCCUACGGGAGGCAGCAGUGGGGAAUAUUGGACAAUGGGCGCAAGCCUGAUCCAGCCAUACCGCGUGGGUGAAAAAGGCCUUCGGGUUGUAAAGCCCUUUUGUUGGGAAAGAAAAGCAGCAGGUUAAUACCCCGCUGUUCUGACGGUACCCAAAGAAUAAGCACCGGCUAACUUCGUG
rnacentral:rRNA from 1 species